rnacentral:rRNA from 1 species
AUGGCAGAGGCACCGAAUAAGAGCAAGAAGAAAGCAGUGGUGGAGGAGAAGAAAGAACCGAAGAACAAGGCAAAGGGAUCGAAUGCCCAAAGCUCGAAGGGCAAGGAAGUGGAGGAGGACAACAGAGAUCUAAAGAGGACUAUCCAAGACCUGGAGGACAAGAUUAGCGCACAGAAUGUUAAAAUUAAAGACAACCAGACUCGCAUAGGGAAAGUGGCCAUGGAGAAAGAUAAUGUGGAAGAGGAUAUCACAGAGCAGAAGAAUAAGGAAACAGAGACGGGAAGAAAGAUUGAUAGGCUGGACAUGAGGAAAGGAAAGCUGGUGGAGAAGAUAGGGAAUCUGGACUUGCAGAAAGAAGAAGUGGUGAAGGAGAAAACAAAGCUGGGAAAGGGUAUCACAGAGCUGAAGAGGAAGGAACAAAAUACGGGAACACAGAUUGCAGAUCUGAAGAAGAAGGAAAAUACGCUGGUGGAGGAGAAAGGAAAGUUGGCGAAGGAGCUAGAUGAGAAAAAAACUAUGAGGAUUGAUAAUCUGGAGAGGAGGAACGAAGAGCUGGCCAAGGACAAUGAGGAACUGAAGAAGGACAACGAGAAGCUGGUGCGUAAAGAAAGAAAGACCAGAGAGGAGAAAAGGGAACUGAAAAACAGCUACGACACGCUGCAGGACAAGUACGAUGGGAGAUGCUGCAGCUCUUGCUCAAUUUGUUGA